ACGGAGCACAAACGACUUGCCCGGUCACACUCCGGCUCAAACUCCAAUAAGCGUAUAUACCGGCCAUGUCCUCCAGUGGUUAUGCCUCCUCAGGUGGUUACGCCACCUCCGUUGAUUGUGCCACCUCCGGUGGUUAUGCCACCUCCAGUGGUUAUGCCACCUACGGUGCCUAUCCCACAGUGGAUCAAGAACAUACUUGCCCACUUCCAAUAAACUACUAAGUAAAAUCUGGAAUUUUGCUAGAGAUCAAUAAGUGAAUGAAUUUUGACAUCAGCUUUGUUUUGUGUCAGCUUUUCACGACAACUGUUUCUUUCUCUUUUCAAAUUUAAUGAUGUUGUCUUACACUAGGUUCAAUUAAACAUGUGGAUCAAAAUCACUUUAUUCUCUGUAGUAGCUGAAAAAUAAACCCCAUAUGGAAAACAUGGACCAAAUACA